ensembl:lncRNA
UAGAGUUUGUGUGCAAUCCUUCUGUAAGAGUGAUGAAUAAUGUCUUUGUUUCUCCUUAGUUGAAGAAGAUGUAUGAAGUAUAUAUGGAAAAGUAUGCAUCCUACAGUAGCAUUUGUAUUAAAGGACCGCUUUGUGGGAGGAUUAACUCUGAUGGAGGACAGUCACUAAUAUUCUUCAUGGCAGAGUACGGCCUUCUGCAUCCCUGGGAAAUACCAUGUGAGAUAUCCCCCUGCACACCAGCCUUUAAAAGGGAAUUUUGCAGUGUCACAGUAGCUGCGGGCAGAUCUUUCCCAGCUUUGGUAGCCAUAACUGAGACUCAGGAGUUUAUGCUCCUGAGCACUCUCCUACAGAAUGAGCUACGUGCUUCCUGGGUAAGAAGUAACUGCUUGCAGUUAUGAUUUGUAGAUGGCCCAAGUUUCCCUAAAAUAGCUUUGUUACCACUUAUAUUUGGCCAGGGUGAAGCAGAGGAGUAAAAUAUAUACUCAUCCCUUGUGUGCACUGAGCAAAACAAGCUGCGUUUAGUCACAAGUUCACCAGAUGCUACUCUGGAGGUUAUUGCUGCUAUAUUACAUUACUGCGAUGUAUUAGACAAGGUGCCGUAAUUCAUUCUUUUUCCUCAUUGCUUUAGGAUGCUCCUUCUCUCUUUCAAAGGAAGCACAGCUGUCUAUGCUGCUUGUGACCCUCGAGACCAACGUAGGCUCCUUGUUGGUGCAUGUAGGUCUCCCUCCAGCAGUGAGGAAGGCCAGCCAAAUAACAGCACCAAACACUGCAGAGAGUCCGGGCUUGCAUUAAUCUCUGUGGCCAGAAAGCAAAUGCUUAAGCAGCUCUACUUUCUGACCAGUUUUGUAACUUAAUUUUCUUUUCAAUCCUGACUGCCUUCUCCCAUCCCCUGUACUUUUAUCCCACUUAUUUCACCUUCUCAUUGGGCCCUUCUCGGCCUCUCAGUUGGACUGGUGUGACCUUCUGAGCUGGGAAGCGGCAGUCUUUAAGCAUAGAACAAAGUUUGUGCUAUACUUUCUGAGCCUGAGAACUACAAGAAUACCACAGAGAGGUAUUGUUUUCCUCCUCUUCUGCUACUCUGUAGGUUGGAACACUUAGUUGAGUGAAUUAUGUGCUAAUCGACAUCUAACAACUCAUAUUGGAUUGAAGCCACAUAUGCAUACAGGGCAUAGGUGCUCCUGUUGGUCAGCUGGACUGUCCCUGGGACCAUCUGGCACCCCUCUUUGGCCUCCCUAUCUCUGCCAUUAUGUUUACUGACCAGCUGCUUUUCCUUCUUGCCAUUGACAAAGGUUCCUAAGCCACAGUUUCCCCUUGCUUCCAAAGGAGACAAAGGAGAAAUGCUACAGCCUUUCACUGUCUUAGAGUGGUCCUGAGUUUCUGGUGCCCUGAGGCCCCAGCCCUGGUUCACAGAUUGCUUUCUCCUCUUCAACGCUGUUCUCACAGUAAAUAGGACAUUGACUUUAGCUACCCCAGUGAAUUAUUGCUCACCUGGCCACAAGCCCAGGGUAAUCUAUUCCACUUCCACAAAUUAAUAAAUUCAUAAGCAAUACAAGAGUGACA